UGAGAUUGCAAUAUAGCCGCGGCUAGUCCC
rnacentral:piRNA from 1 species